rnacentral:miRNA from 1 species
AAUUGCACUUGUCCCGGCCUUC